rnacentral:snRNA from 1 species
AUACUUACCUGGCAGGGGAGAUACCAUGAUCACGAAGGUGGUUUUCCCAGAGCGAGGCUUAUCCAUUGCACUCCGGAUGUGCUGACCCCUGCGAUUUCCCCAAAUGUGGGAAACUCGACUGCAUAAUUUGUGGUAGUGGGGGACUGCGUUCGCGCUUUCCCCUA